AGAUUGUGGCAAAACAGAAGGACUGGGGGGAAACUCUCCACAUGGACGAAGAGUUUAACAAACCACUUAUACUGGGUCGCCGCUUCAACACCCGACGGAAAUGAUGGAGUGAUGUGGGCAAAAUGGGAGUCUGUGGACAACCACAUUCACAACGUCCAUGAGGGUCAUGGCCAACUUUUCCCGACUUGUGCCCACAACUUGAGGGGGAAAAGCAGAGAAAGAAGUGGUUAAAACCAGGUACCAAGGAGAGUGAGGAAAUGAGCAACAUCAUAUUGUCAAGCCAAAUGAAGAAGGAUAUACCCAAGCUAUCGCCAUUGUUUCAAACUUCCCAAAUUGAAGCCUGUUGAUCCAACAAUUAACUAUGCAUCAGUCCUGAUGAAGGAGACUUAUUUGGCCUUUCAAGAGUCAUCAGAACCAUUACCAUGCUCAUUGCCAGCUCAACCACCUCCACUCUGCAGUGAAUUUUUCCAUCCUGACAAAGAAGAAGCGGUUCUACAUUUUAGAUCGAGGUUCAGUCGGAAGGAGACAUCCAUUUUAGCAAAGCAGAUAAAAGAUAUGUUGGUCAUACAGAUGUGUUCUUUUUAAUCUUGUUUAAAAAUGUUAAAUCAUUGUGAAACAUCUUUAUUUUCGGGUUUUGUUUAAAUCUGAACCAAAGUCAUAUACAGGAGUAGGUUGUGUAAACAAAUUAUUUUUUACAAAUAAAAAAUUACUGGGGACAACCAUGAUAUAGGGUCUGACCGUUAGGUAACAAUCUGUUUGGAACAGUGUAUUUUUGCAAAUAAUUUAUAGAAUGAAAUAUUAGCAUAGUAUAUGUAGUAUUAGCUUAGUAUAUAUGAUAGUUGUAAGAGUUAAAAAAUGAUAAAACUUUUUUUUAAAUGGGAACAUGAAAGCAGGGUCCUCGUCCCAUUCCUGGGUGCAGAAACAUUUUAUUUAAAAUAUUGUUUGUGUAGCUGAUGCUUUCUAAAAAAUGAUAUUUUGUAGUAUUCUGUUUUGCCAGUAUAUAAUUAUGAUAUUUUUUACUACUAUUAUGUUCAUAAAUGUAUUAUUUUUGGGCCAUUUCUGUUAGAAUGUUGUGCUUGAAUUUUUUUGUAUACAUCAUGUAUGAAUCGUACAUUUGUUUAAAAAAAAGUUGCUUCAUCCAAAUCAUACCAUCACUCAGGUGCAUUGAACCCUUGAUACACCUCAGAGGCAAAGGGAUUCCGUCACAGCACAUGAGGGUAGAGGGACUCGUGCCUAGUGCCCUAGGUAUCCUUAGCACCAUCAAACAAAUUGUCUGUGUACUGUGUAUCUGUUACACCUGUAAUUCCAGGAAAUGUUUGGAAUUAUUCACUAAUGAUAAACUAGCAAUGGGACCCAAUGGUCAUGUGAAUUUUGUAUUGAUUAGAUUAAUAAAAAACUGA